AGCGAACGCUGGCGGUAUGCCUAACACAUGCAAGUCGAACGGCAGCACAGUAAUUGCUUGCUCUCACGGGUGGCGAGUGGCGGACGGGUGAGGGAUACACCGGAAUCUACUUCUUCGUGGGGGAUAACGUAGGGAAAUUUUCGCGAAUACCGCAUAUGUCCUACGGGUGAAAGCAGGGGUUCUUUGGACCUUGCGCGAUUUAAUGAGCCGAUGUCGGGUUAGCUAGUUUGCGGGGUAAAGGCGCACCAAGGCGACGAUGCGUAGCUGGUCUGAGGGGGUGGACCGGCACAUUGGAACUGAGGCACGGUACAGACACCGACAGGAGGCCGCGGUUGCGAAUAGUGGACGAUGGGGGCAAGCCUGAUCCAGCCAUACCGGGUGGAUGCAGAAGGCCUUCGGGUUGGAGAGCCGUUUUGUUGUGAGAGAUGACCAGCACGUUAAUCCAAGGCUGUUCUGACGGUACCCAAAGAAUAAGCACCGGCUAACUUCGUG
rnacentral:rRNA from 1 species